rnacentral:rRNA from 1 species
AACGCGAAGAACCUUACCUGGGCUCGAAAUGCUAUGGACCGGGGUAGAAAUAUCCCUUCCCCGCAAGGGGCCGUAGUAUAGGUGCUGCAUGGCUGUCGUCAGCUCGUGUCGUGAGAUGUUGGGUUAAGUCCCGCAACGAGCGCAACCCUUACUUCCAGUUGCCAUCAUUUAGUUGGGCACUCUGGCAGAACCGCCUCGGAUAACGGGGAGGAAGGUGGGGAUGACGUCAAGUCCUCAUGGCCUUUAUGUCCAGGGCUACACACGUGCUACAAUGGCCGGUACAAACCGUCGCAAACCCGCGAGGGGGAGCUAAUCGGAGAAAGCCGGCCUCAGUUCGGAUUGCAGUCUGCAACUCGACUGCAUGAAGCUGGAAUCGCUAGUAAUCGCGGAUCAGAACGCCGCGGUGAAUACGUUCCCGGGCCUUGUACACACCGAUAGC